ensembl:lncRNA
GGCGAUCCCCGCCCCGCCCCUCCCUCCGGCUCCCGACGGAGGCUCCGCCCCCAGCCCGAGACUUGGCGCCGUCCGACCCGGGAGCGAGCGCCCCUUUGCACCCUUCUCCAAGGAUGGCCCCGCGGGGCUCUGCAGGGACGAGUUUCGGUGUCUGCAGCCUUCCCUUUCCCAUAACGUGCGCGUAGAAAGCUUUCUGUGGAACGUUACCUCUGAGGCCAGUUGCCAAAACCCAACCAUAAGGGUGUCAUCCCAUGGACCAUAUCUUAGAGGUUUUUACUUACAAGAUCCUAUAGGAGCUUUGGCACUGGUGUCAUAUGAAUAUGGAAAGUUCCAUUGGACAGAGAAUGACUGGGCAGUGUGGACUGCUGAGGAGAGAGAGCUGACCCAACAGACACUUGAUCUGACUGGAGCAAGUCCUGUAGAGCCUGCACUGGAGAGACCUUGGCAAUCACCCAGCCACUACCCUGGCUGCACCUAGACGCACCUGGGAGCUUAAAAGAAAAUAAUCGUGUCUGGGUUCCAUCCUUAAAGGUUUAAUUCAAGUUGUCUGGGGUAAGGCCCUUUAUCAUUAUUAAAAACAAGAAAAUCAAAUGAGGCUACUAUGUGGCCAGAGUGGAAGAUCCCUGACUUAGUUCAAGCUUUUCAUUUCAUAGAUAAAAAACUGGGGCUCCUGAAGUCAAUGUCGGGUGCCCUGAUUUUUCACAGUUGAGGAGUCAUGGUUCUCCUGCCCUCCUACGUCAGUGCUGGCUCUGCCAGCCUAGAGGCAUUUCAGCACGAGCACCUUCUUGGGGACUCCUGAGCCUUCCUAUGAAGAGGUGACUGAGUACUUACUCCCUAACAUGUCCGUCUGGGGCUUAGCACCCUCUAGAGAGGUUCCUUCCAGCCUGCUGAAUAUUUUAUAAGCAUCUGAAGAGAUUCAACACAGUAAAUAACUCCUGUGCAGGAACAUAUUGGACGUCCC